rnacentral:lncRNA from 1 species
AUUUUUGAGUCGAUGACUUAAGCAUUGCUCAUCUUGUUCUUACCUCCAAAGGCCCAGUGAGGCUUGGCAGGAGUGCGUUUGAAUGACUUCACUCCCAAUGGGUUGUUCUUGCCCUGUGAUCAAACACAUAAAAUUUGGAUAAGCAAAAGUGAAAACAAUUCAUACAAAUUUGGAUAAUUCCCGAUAAAACAGCUAAAUUAAGAGCUUGUUCUACCAGUUCUUUUCCCAUAAGAAUUUAACUUUGUUUGGAUAAAGUCGAAUUGUUUUUAUUCAAGCUAUAAGUUGUAUUCUUAAGUUAUUCUGAAGAGCUUAUGAAAAUAUUAUGAAAACAAGUAAUAGACAUGUUAUAGGCUAUUUUCCUAUGUUCUCCCAAACAGUCUCAGUAGAUAAACUCAAAUAAUAUAAUCCAAAUAGCUUAUUAGUUUAACUCUGCAUAGUGCAUAAGCUUUUUAUAAAAAAUUUAUAGGCUAUCACAGAAAACUUAUGACAAUAAUCUGAAACCAGCUUAUGGAUAUAUUAUAAGCUAUCUUUAUAAGCUCUUCUAAACAUAAUAUGCAUAAUGCAUCUCAAUUUUUUAAGAAAACUAUCUCAUUUAACUCAAGUUACAAACACUUAUCAUUGAAAAAUUGUUUUCUGCUAAAACUUUACCAUAUUUUAACUGAAAAGAUAAAUUAUAAUUCCAAGUGAAAACCCAAUCAAAAAAUGCAAGCAGGUAAAAGAUAAGGUUGACUUGGACAUACCUUAAGACAAAGUCCAGCACGGGUGUCACAGACAGGAUACUCAUGAGGGCAGCAACUGUAGUGAUCAUCACAGCAAGUAGCAGACUCAAGAGGACAGCAUCCCCACUCAAAGCAAGAUCUUCCAUACUCGUAAAUACAGCAACAAGUAGAGCCUUCAGCACAGCUGUAGUAGCUGUCACAGACAGAUGGUGGCUUUAUAGGUGAAGGUGGCGAUGGUCCAGGGUUAGGGGGGUUCUGCCCAUUCUUAAUUGGAUAAGAUGGCUCGAUCGCAAUUCCACACUUUCCUGCUCUGCUUGAAGCUAGAUUACGUUCGAGUCUGAUGUAACCUUGUUCUCCCCAGCUACCACCCCAUGAAUUUCUCACAAUCCAAUAAUCUUUACCGUUUUCUGUACCGUAUCCAACAGCUGCAACACCAUGGUCUAGUGCUGUUCCACAUCUACCAGUAAAU